rnacentral:rRNA from 1 species
GACGAACGCUGGCGGCGUGCUUAACACAUGCAAGUCGAACGGAAAGGCCCUGCUUUUGUGGGGUGCUCGAGUGGCGAACGGGUGAGUAACACGUGAGUAACCUGCCCUUGACUUUGGGAUAACUUCAGGAAACUGGGGCUAAUACCGGAUAGGAGCUCCUGCUGCAUGGUGGGGGUUGGAAAGUUUCGGCGGUUGGGGAUGGACUCGCGGCUUAUCAGCUUGUUGGUGGGGUAGUGGCUUACCAAGGCUUGGACGGGUAGCCGGCCUGAGAGGGUGACCGGACACACGGGAACUGAGACGCGGUCGAGACGCCUACGGGGAGCCGCAGUAGGGAAUGGUCCGCAACGGGGGAGGGCGUGACGGAGCGACGCCGCGGGAGUGCGGCAGGUCCUCGGAUCGUGAAACGCUGUUGUGAGGGAAGAACAAAAGUGUACGUAACCAUGCACGUCUUGACGGUACCUAAUGAGAAAGCCACGGCUAACUACGUG